rnacentral:rRNA from 1 species
GAGUUUGAUCAUGGCUCAGGAUGAACGCUGGCGGCGUGCCUAACACAUGCAAGUCGAGCGAUUUACUUCAGUAAAGAGCGGCGGACGGGUGAGUAACGCGUGGGUAACCUGCCUCAUACACAUGGAUAACAUGCCGAAAGGUAUGCUAAUACAGGAUAAUAUAAGAGAUUCACAUGGAUUUCUUAUCAAAGCUCCGGCGGUAUGAGAUGGACCCGCGUCUGAUUAGCUAGUUGGUAAGGUAAUGGCUUACCAAGGCGACGAUCAGUAGCCGACCUGAGAGGGUGAUCGGCCACAUUGGAACUGAGACACGGUCCAAACUCCUACGGGAGGCAGCAGUGGGGAAUAUUGCACAAUGGGCGAAAGCCUGAUGCAGCAACGCCGCGUGAGUGAUGAAGGCCUUCGGGUCGUAAAACUCUGUCCUCAAGGAAGAUAAUGACGGUACUUGAGGAGGAAGCCCCGGCUAACUACGUGCCAGCAGCCGCGGUAAUAC